rnacentral:lncRNA from 1 species
AGUCCUUGAUGUCCUACCAAGGAAGACGUCCUCACAUCUUGCAGCAGGAACCCAUUGAUACGGCGCCCACCUUGACUUCCGAAUGGGACAGCGCAUCCUCAGAAGCAACGGUGAUGGCGGUGAUGGCGCCUGCAUCACACAUCGAAGACGCUUGUGCUGAUAGCUCAAGCCCUUGAAAACCCAGCCAAGGUCAGUGUCGUAUCCUCCAGGAAUCCUGGCCGGCAAGAUGUGCUGGAAGUUGCUGCCGCCACCAGAGCCACCUCUGUUGCCGGCCGCCCCAUCCUUGGACCUUCGCCAAGCCAGCCCAGCCAGUCCUCCGAGGGCCGCGACUCCCGCCGUCACUAGUCCCGCUGCUGACCAGCAGCGGCCCCGCACAGGUGCGGUCACCUGUGUCACACGGAUGCUCCUCGGGGCCACGUGGACAUUUCCAGCCCAGGCCGCAGGGGGGCGCUGGCCCAGAGCCUCUGCGCAUGUGCAGCCCCUCCCGAGGCCCACUCGGGGAGGAGGCCGCGCGGGUCUCUGCUGCAGAGAUCCUGAAGGGAUGGAACAGGAAGAGCAGGCUGCUGCCGCGGGCCACGACGGAGAAGGAAUUUCAGGGAUGUUAACAGAUGCUGAUGCAGUUGGACUAUGUCCUUGAGCUUCUGCCAUCACCAUGAGAACAAGUCCUAGCCGCCAAAAGAUUGAGAGCCACAUGAAUCAAACCUAA